GUCCGGGCUCCUCAGCCGGCCAGUGGGACGCGCUUCCACGUUAGCCAACGGCUGGGAGGUGAAAGGGGAGCGUGGAUCCGGUGAAAUGGUACUUGGUUCUGCUGCUAAAGUUCUCUCUUUAGCAGAUCAUACAGUUCUUGGGACAACGGCUUUCACAUGUUAAGACUUCAUGUAUUUCUAAAACAUGAUCUACAUCCAUUCUUAAAAUCGAUUUUCCCAAAGAUUUUGAAAUACUCAAUUUAAAUGGUUUUCACCGAAAUUCAAACGCUGAGAGCAACAAAGAGACUAUAUACGUCCUCAAGAGAGGCGCUCGCCAGCUCGUCUUUCCCGAAGUACUGUCGGGAUCCGGGUCAACGCCUCCCUUUCACUGUCACGUAGACCAGGAGCAUGAUAGGAGGAGAAAGAUGCGUGAGGAUCCAUUUAAAGCUAGUUGCUGAAUGCGGUGCUCAUCUUGACCACCUCCCAUCUCUGGCUCAGAAUGACAGGGGUUUGGAGGGAAGUGUUUAGAGGAAAAAAAAAAAUCCACGUGCCCCAGGUUUUAAGGUUAAGAGAUUUUCCUGCAUGGAGCGGCCUGGGCUCAGAGAGUCUGGCAAGACAAAGACUUGGGUUUUCUGUCCUAGACAAAGUAGCUGCCCAGAAAGUAGCCAGGCCAGGGCUCUCUUGAAGUGAUCCUGGCUGUGAGGACCGCCCCGCUGGCCACACCAAGGUGACCGUGAUGGGGAGGCCUCGGGCAGACGCAGCUUCCAAGGCGGGCUGGAGAGCACGUCACCCACAGCAGGGAAUACCCAGGGAAAUGAACUUGGUGUCCAGCAGGAGAGUGGGGAGAGAAGGCUUCGGAGAACUCACAAAAGCGCCCCAGGAGAGAAAAAGCCAGAAUUCGGGCUUCCGCGCCAUCCAGAGGGCGGGAGUGCCAGAUCAGGACAUCACCAUAUGAAGUCUUCUGUGGGCCACAGCUUGUUUUUCGCUGUUCAUCGGGAGAGUGGUCAGAGAAUGAAGGCCACGUGAGCCUCUCCCUCCUCCCUGUAGCUGUCUGGGUCCGAGGCCAGCCUGAAAGGUCUGGGGGUAAGAAAGCUUGACCCCAAUGCAAGACGUUGCUUCCUUCGACCUGCAUUUUCUUGGUUGCCCACAUACCAAGGAGACGGUUGCCAGGGGUGUAUUUCAAACAUGUCGGCUUACACGCACACCACGUUUCCCUUACAUUUAUACAGAUCGCAGGGACAAUGGAAAGAAAAGCAAAACUGGGGGAGAGAGAGAAUGGGAAAUCGACAUGACAUGGGUAAGAAGGAGAGAGCUUGCCUCACGCCUGUGGGUCCAGCUAACGGGUUGAGUCUCAUGGUGGGUGUGUCCCCACUUUUCCAAAGAUUUAUGACAUCAUUAUCUGUUUUCUCUAACCAAGGGAAUCCAAAGAGGGCUUUUGUUUUUAUGGAAAAAAAAAAAGAAAAAAAAAAGGUGAAAAGCGAGAUUAGUCUUUGGCAUCGUUUGGCACCUGUCGGGCCUUUGUGGAGGCAGCGUGCACCCGAGCAGGGAGACUGGCUCCGCCAAGCUCCUUCCCCAGGAACCACACGCGGCAUCUCAGAGUCCAGCCGCCAGAGCUCUGGACUGUGUCUAUGAGCAUCGGUGCUUUAUCUCGAUUUCUUUUGUUCAUCUGUUAGCAAGAUGUGUCCUAAGGUAUCAGAAAAGCCUAAGAGGGCUUAUUGUUUUGCGUCUGGGAGCACUCAAAGAAUUUUCCAUGGAAGUUCAUGACAACUGCUUCUUCCCUUUAUGGCUAUUUUGGCUUACGAAAGGUUUCGUGGGAAUGCUUUAGGUUCGGACAGUGGGGGUGGGGUGACCUGUACUUCCCAGCAAGCUGCUUUAACGGGGUUGUAACUGAAGACAGGCAGGAUCUAACUGUAACCUUUACCAAAGUCAGUUACAACUUUGUGCACCUGGUUUUGCAAUUUUUCGACGUACAACCGCUUUCGUUAGGCAGGAAGCUGGGCGUGAGUGACAGGAGGAUGGACAGUCCCAACCCAGGACCGCCCGGGACCACCCGUUGCACCCAUCUGGCAGCGGGUCUGUGGGCACAACAUCCCGGCCCAGGGAGAGUUAAGUUUGAUAUGCUUCUUGUGCUUAUGCAGACCUGACCUAUGUCCCUAGAAUAGACAAAAUGUUGCAAUUUCCUACCCCCUGCAGGUAUUUUAAAUACAUCUUGGGAAAGGACACGGAUUGUUGGCUAAUUAUUAUAUAAUCCAGGGCUGUCACUCAAAUGUUGCAACCCUAGAAGCCAGGGGAAAAGCGAAACUGAUAGAAGCCCACACCCUAGAGUUUCUAGGGCCUUUGUCUCUCCUCACUUGGCCUGCUCCUCCCUUGGAGUGUCCUGUUAAUAACACGUUGCUCAGCUGUACUUUCCUUUCCCUGUCCUGGAAUUCUUUACUGUGGCAGCGGAAAGGACCAGGGCUUCGUUCCUUUUCCAUCUAACUCUCGGUAACACUUUGAGGAAUCUAAAUAUUUCAUUCACCUCAAUAUUGGAAGAUAUUGUGAGAGGCUUACUAAGUGUCGAUCUCCAAAACCAGAACUCCAUGAAAGAGACAUGACAUCCCAGGGCUGUGAGACAAAGUGGUAAAGCAAGAAAAAGGCCAGGUGAGGGUGACAGGUCUGGGUGGGUGGCUUAGUGGCUUAGACAUCUGACCGACUCUUGGUGUCGGCUCAAGUCGUGAUCUCACAGUUUGUGGGUUUGAGCCCCGCAUCAGGCUCUGUGUUGACUGUGUGGAGCCUGCUUGGGAUUUUCUCUCACCCUCUCUCUCUACCCCUCCUCUGCUGACUUUCUCUGUCUCUCUCUCAAAAUAAAUAAAUAGACUUAAAAAUAAAUAAAUAAAAUUAAGAAAACCUUUGAAUUCUUAAAUAAUGCAAAAAGUUCAGGGCCUUUUUCUUUUUGUUCUGGAGCCUGCAAUACUAACCAUAAGAUUAAUAAACACAAAAUUAAAAUGAUGGGAGGAUAAUCAUGCCUAACAUAAGACACCUGAUGAGCACAUAAUCUAUAUGGAGAAUGGUUUUGUCUUCCUCAUGGCUGAGAGACGUGCACUUUUUACUUGUUAACUUCAAAAGUAAAACAGCCAAGGGUGCCUGGGUGGCUCAGAAGGUUAAGAAUCCGACUUCAGCUCAGGUCACAAUCUUACGGUCACAAGUUCGAGCCCCAAAUCAGGCUCUGUGCUGACAGCUCAGAGCCUGGAGCCUGCUUCGGAUUCUGUGUCUCCCUCUCUCUCUGCCCCUCCCCUGCUCACGCUCGCUCUUCCUCUCUCUUUCUCUCUCAAAAUUAAAUAAACAUUAGAAAAAUAAAAAAAAAUAAAACAGCCAAUUAUUCAGAAAAACGGGUUUAUUCAGGACUAGCAGAGAAUUACAAUUCAAGACAUGGAAGCCACAGCAAAACCACAGGCAAGUCCAACCAACAAAGAAGAAUGUUCGUUUAUGGAGAAGAAGGAGGAAGUCGGGAGGGGUUGUUUUGAAUAAAAGUCCCUUGGAAAAAAGCAAGAGUUCAGAGUGGUGACUUGCUCAUUGACUGAAUUGCAGGGGUAGUUGAUUUCUUAUAAAAGAUGCAAUGUGUAUCUUUUUCUGUUGGGACCUGUAAUUGAAGAUUCUUUCUUGUUGACCAUUCUUCUGUUGGAGUCUGCAAUUGACAGUUCUUCCUGUAACUGACAUUGAGUGGUAGGGUUUUACCUUCCAGCCUCCCGACUGGACUUUAGUGAGGCUUCCCUUCAUCCUUACUGGGAUAUUUAUGCAUUUCUCAUAAAUAAACUUUUAAAAACUUU